rnacentral:lncRNA from 1 species
UGUUCAGUUCAGUGGUGUAAGGAGGUUCGGGUGGACUUGCUGACCAUUCGAUGGUAGCCUUAAUGGCAGGUGGACCUUAUGGGUUUUUCAGGCCCUGCGUGGUAGGCAAACGCCAUCCUUAAGACGUUGUCAGGCCCUGCGUGGUAGGCAAUUGUCGACACUUAGACCUUGUCAGGCCCUUCGUGGUAGGCAAGUGUCAUCUUUAAGACGUUGUCAGGCCCUGCGUGGUAGGCAAUUGUCGACACUUAGACCUUGUCAGGCCCUUCGUGGUAGGCAAGUGUAAUCUUUAAGACGUUGUCAGGCCCUGCGUGGUAAGCAAUUGUCAAUACUUAGACCUUGUCAGGCCCUUCG